rnacentral:rRNA from 1 species
UACGGGGGGUGCAAGCGUUGUCCGGAUUUACUGGGCGUAAAGGGCGCGUAGGCGGCUUGAUCAGUCGGACUUUUAAGAGCGGGGCUCAACCCCGUGGUGGGUUCGGGACGGUCGAGCUGGGGCGCGGUCGAGGGGGAUGGAAUGCCGGGUGUAGUGGUGAAAUGCGUAGAUAUCCGGCGGAACACCUGGGGCGAAGGCGGCCAGCUGGGCCGUCCCUGACGCUGAGGCGCGAAGGCGUGGGGAGCGAACGGG